rnacentral:rRNA from 1 species
GACGAACGCUGGCGGCGUGCUUAACACAAGCAAGUCGAACGGCCAGGCCCUUCGGCAUACACGAGUGGCCAACGGGUGAGACACACGUGGGCGAUCUGCCCUGCACCUCGGGAUACGCCUGGGAAACUGGGUCUAAUACCGGAUAGGCCCACCGCCUGCAUUGGUGUUGGCGGAAAGCUAUUGCGGUGUGGGCUGGGCCCGCGGCGUAUCAGCUUGUGGGUGGGGUGAGGGCCUCCCAAGGCGACGACGGGUAGCCGGCCUGAGAGGGUGACCGGCCCCGCUGAGCCGGGGAUACGGCCCAAACUCCAACGGGAAGCAGCAGUGGGGAAUAUUGCACAGUGGGCGCAAGCCUGAUGCAGCGACGCCGCGUGAGGGAUGACGGCCUUCGGGUUGUAAACCUCUGUCAGCACCGACGAAGCGCAAGUGCCCGUAGGUGCAGAAGAAGGACCGGCCAACUACGUGCCAGCCGCCGCCGUAA